rnacentral:rRNA from 1 species
AGUGAACGCUGGCGGUAGGCCUAACACAUGCAAGUCGAACGGCAGCACAGUAAGAGCUUGCUCUUACGGGUGGCGAGUGGCGGACGGGUGAGGAAUACAUCGGAAUCUACUUUUUCGUGGGGGAUAACGUAGGGAAACUUACGCUAAUACCGCAUACGACCUACGGGUGAAAGCAGGGGAUCUUCGGACCUUGCGCGAUUGAAUGAGCCGAUGUCGGAUUAGCUAGUUGGCGGGGUAAAGGCCCACCAAGGCGACGAUCCGUAGCUGGUCUGAGAGGAUGAUCAACCACACUGGAACUGAGACACGGUCCAGACUCCUACGGGAGGCAGCAGUGGGGAAUAUUGGACAAUGGGCGCAAGCCUGAUCCGGCCAUACCGCGUGGGUGAAGAAGGCCUUCGGGUUGUAAAGCCCUUUUGUUGGGAAAGAAAAGCAGCAGGUUAAUACCCCGCUGUUCUGACGGUACCCAAAGAAUAAGCACCGGCUAACUUCGUG